CGGCGGUGAUGUAGAAACAGGGAGACAGAAAUGUACAGAAGGAGAGAAAGAGAACCGGCGGACCGGCGGUCGGCUUCAUUGUCCGGCGGUCGGUUAUUUUAACCGGCGGUCUUAGCCUUUAUCCGUUAAGUUUUCCGGAUGAUGACAAUGGCCUAAUGUUAAAGAUGAUGGUGGGUAUUCACGGUCACAACUCAGAUUUCGUCUGAUUCAGUUGUGGCUCGGGAUCGGGUCAGUGGCUCAAGUGUUCAGGCUUUAUGUUUGGUCAAGAUGUGGUGUAACGGGUCAAAUUCAGUCGAACCGGGUCAACUGAGUUGACUCGGCCAGUUCAGUCAAGCAGCUCGGUCAGCUUCAGUUUUGACUCGGUCAACUCGGGUCAAACCCGGUUGACUCAGUCAACUCAGCGAGUCAACCCGGGUCAACUUAGUCCGCGUUUCGACAUGAAGACUUGAAUGCACGCUAGCAAGCCACGUCUUGGAAACGA